rnacentral:rRNA from 1 species
GAUGAACGCUGGCGGCGUGCCUAAUACAUGCAAGUCGAGCGAACAGACGAGGAGCUUGCUCCUCUGACGUUAGCGGCGGACGGGUGAGUAACGCGUGGAUAACCUACCUAUAAGACUGGGAUAACUUCGGGAAACCGGAGCUAAUACCGGAUAAUAUAUUGAACCGCAUGGUUCAAUAGUGAAAGACGGUUUUGCUGUCACUUAUAGAUGGAUCCGCGCCGCAUUAGCUAGUUGGUAAGGUAACGGCUUACCAAGGCAACGAUGCGUAGCCGACCUGAGAGGGUGAGCGGCCACACUGGAACUGAGACACGGUCCAGACUCCUACGGGAGGCAGCAGUAGGGAAUCUUCCGCAAUGGGCGAAAGCCUGACGGAGCAACGCCGCGUGAGUGAUGAAGGUCUUCGGAUCGUAAAACUCUGUUAUUAGGGAAGAACAAAUGUGUAAGUAACUAUGCACGUCUUGACGGUACCUAAUCAGAAAGCCACGGCUAACUACGUG